rnacentral:rRNA from 1 species
AGCGAACGGUGGCGGCAGGCUUAACACAUGCAAGUCGAACGGUCCUUCGGGAUAGUGGCGGACGGGUGAGUAACACGUGGGAACGUACCCUUAGGUUCGGAACAACACAGGGAAACUUGUGCUAAUACCGGGUAAGCCCUUCGGGGGAAAGAUUUAUCGCCUUUGGAGCGGCCCGCGUCUGAUUAGCUUGUUGGUGAGGUAAUGGCUCACCAAGGCUACGAUCAGUAGCUGGUCUGAGAGGAUGGCCAGCCACACUGGGACUGAGACACGGCCCAGACUCCUACGGGAGGCAGCAGUGGGGAAUCUUGCGCAAUGGGCGAAAGCCUGACGCAGCCAUGCCGCGUGGAUGAUGAAGGUCUUAGGAUUGUAAAAUCCUUUCACCGGGGACGAUAAUGACGGUACCCGGAGAAGAAGCCCCGGCUAACUUCGUGCCAGCCGCCGCAGUAA